UACGUAGGGUCCAAGCGUUAUCCGGAAUCACUGGGCGUAAAGCGUGCGUAGGUGGAUUGUUAAGUGCGGUGCGAAAUCCUGUGGCUCAACCAUAUGGACUGUAUCGCAUACUGGCAACCUAGAGGACAUGAGAGGCAAGUGGAAUUACUGGUGUAGCAGUGAAAUGCGUAGAGAUCAGUAGGAACACCAAUGGCGAAGGCAGCUUGCUGGCAUGUAUCUGACGUUAAGGCACGAAAGCGUGGGGAGCGAACAGG
rnacentral:rRNA from 1 species